rnacentral:rRNA from 1 species
AUUUUCAGUGAAUCAUCGAAUCUUUGAACGCACCUUGCGCCCCUUGGUAUUCCGAGGGGCAUGCCUGUUUGAGUGUCAUU